GACUAAUUAACCUUUUCAGCGCCAAAGUCUGAUAUAUAAGACGUUAAAGUUUCGUGCCCUCGCCGCCAAAGUCUGAUAUAUCAGACAAAUAAAUCUUACCAAUUUAACUCUAUUUUUUCUAAUCGUUAUAGUACCUGAUCACAUAUGCAUAAAAUUUUCAGACAGUUUAUACUUUAGUUAAUCAAAAAUAACAAUUUCACAAUGUAUUAUAACGUUAUUUUAAUAAUAAAUUAUUAAAAAAGAAACCGUGUUUAUUGAUUAAAUCCGACUCUUUUUUUAUUUGAACCCUCAGCGCCAAUGUCUGAUAUAUAAGACAUUAGUGAUGUUACAUUACAAUGUAACUACCAAAGCCUAAAUAAAUAAAAUAAAUCAGGUACUCUAAAAAGAAACUUCUAAAAAAGUCAGAAUUAUACAGAUUUUUGUUUUGGGCAUAAACAUUUUUAAGUGUGAUGUUAUUUUACAAGUUUUACCACAGAAAAUGGAAUUAUUUUCAAAUUAUGUUUUGAAUCGAAUCCAGUAAAUUUCAUGGUAUGUCACAACACUAUAGCGACACGAUCAUGCAUCAGUCUCGUGCGCCAACGUCUGAUAAAUCAGACACGGAAGUGACGUCAGAGGCGAUAGAUGUUUCUAGAACUAUUUAUUUUGUGCUGUACAAUGAGGGUAGGAGAUAUCGAUAAAUUAUGGAAGUACCCUGCAAAAUCAUGUUAUUUAUUGGGUUAUCAUGUUUGCGUUGCUGUGUUGAUGUAUUAUCAUUGUAAAUUAAUAUUUAUUGAAAUAUGACCACUACAGAGGAGUUGAUUAGGAUUUUAGAAGGAACUAGUGAUGGUGAAUUUGAAAGUGAUGAAGUGUUCUUACAUAAUCAACAGGGACAAGAUGACGAAUUUAAUUGGUUGGCAGGAGCACCGCCGCCUCCAGUUAUCGACGAGUUCGAUCAUUUUACGUCAGGAAUAUCACCAAGUUUAAUAUCAAAGGCUUCGUCUGAACUGGAAAUCUUUGAACAUUUUAUUAAUUUAGAACUUAUCGAACAUAUGGUUAAAUGCACUAAUCAAUACCAUCAACGUCUAGUGAGAACUCUUCCAUUGAAAACGUACUCAAGAUUACACCGAUGGAGUGACGUCACAGUACAAGACAUGUAUAUAUUUUUAAGUGUCACCAUGUUAAUGACAAGAAAUUCACAUUUGUCUAUUGAAGAACAUUGGUCGACGGAUCCCCUAUUAUGUGCUCCUAUAUUUGGGAAGUUAAUGACUCGCAACAGAUAUUGUAUGAUUUUAGGUAUGCUCUGUUUCCAUGAUCUGACAGCAGCACCAGCAUCAACGUCUGAUUUAAGACUAACUAAGCUAGAACUUAUUAUACAACAUGCACGUAGAUUGUUUAAAGAAUCAUUGGUUCCUUACAAGAAUUUGUGUAUCGAUGAAAGCAUCGUCCCUUUUAAAGGGCGCCUUGUUUUCAAGCAAUAUAUGCCUAGAAAACGAAAUAGAUUUGGGAUAAAGCUUUUUGUACUAUGUGAUAUUGAAACUGGAUGCAUAGUGGACUUCAUAGUAUAUUGUGGUGCAACCACUGAUGUUGCAGAUAUUCCGGAUUUGGGCAAAAGUGGGUCUGUCGUAGUUAAACUCCUUGAAGACUAUUUUGAUUGUAACAGGUGCUUAUAUGUUGACAACUGGUACAGUAGUCCUUCGCUGUUUAAGUAUUUAAAAAAUAAGAAAA